UACGGGGGGGGGCAAGCGUUGUUCGGAAUUACUGGGCGUAAAGGGCCAGUAGGCGGCCAACUAAGUCGGAUGUGAAAUCCCCCAGGCUUAACCUGGGAACUGCAUCCGAUACUGGAUGGCUUGAAUUCGGGAGAGGGAUGCAGAAUUCCAGGUGUAGCGGUGAAAAUGCGUAGAUAUCUGGAGGAAUACCGGUGGCGAAGGCGGCAUCCUGGAC
rnacentral:rRNA from 1 species